AAACCAACCGGGAUUGCCUCAGUAACGGCGAGUGAAGCGGCAAAAGCUCAAAUUUGAAAUCCUUCGGGAGUUGUAAUUUGUAGAGGGGUGUCUUUGGGGCGGCAUUGUCUAUGUUCCUUGGAACAGGACGUCACAGAGGGUGAGAAUCCCGUGCGAUGAUGCCUCAACCAGUACAAGACCCUCUCGACGAGUCGAGUUGUUUGGGAAUGCAGCUCUAAGUGGGUGGUAAAUUCCAUCUAAAGCUAAAUACUGGCGAGAGACCGAUAGCGAACAAGUACAGUGAUGGAAAGAUGAAAAGCACUUUGAAAAGAGAGUGAAACAGUACGUGAAAUUGUUGAAAGGGAAGGGUAGGAGGUGAGGGGAAGAGCUGCUUAGGCGCGGGAGAUAAACAAGCAGGAAGCGCUUCGGUGCGGCCUGGUAAAUAUCCCGUGCUUGUGUG
rnacentral:rRNA from 1 species